rnacentral:rRNA from 1 species
GAUGAACGCUGACAGAAUGCUUAACACAUGCAAGUCUUUGGCGAAGCUGUGCUUGCACAGCCUAGCCAAGGCGGACGGGUGAGUAACGCGUAAGGAACUUGCCCUGCAGUCAGGGAUAACAGACGGAAACGACUGAUAAGACCUGGUAAAGUCAGGCGGACUCAUGUCCAGCCUGAUGAAAAGAGAUGCUGCAGGAGAGCCUUGCGUCCUAUUAGCUUGUUGGUGGGGUAACGGCCCACCAAGGCGAUGAUAGGUAGCCGGCCUGAGAGGGUGGACGGCCACAAGGGGACUGAGAUACGGCCCUUACUCCUACGGGAGGCAGCAGUGGGGAAUAUUGGACAAUGGGGGCAACCCUGAUCCAGCAAUUCUGUGUGCACGAUGAAGGUUUUCGGAUUGUAAAGUGCUUUCAGCAGGGAAGAAAAAAAUGACGGUACCUGCAGAAGAAGCGACGGCUAAAUACGUGCCAGCAGCCGCGGUAAUACGUAUGUCGCAAGCGUUAUCCGGAAUUAUUGGGCAUAAAGGGCAUCUAGGCGGCCAGAUAAGUCUGGGGUGAAAACUUGCGGCUCAACCGCAAGCCUGCCCUGGAAACUAUGUGGCUAGAGUACUGGAGAGGUGGACGGAACUGCACGAGUAGAGGUGAAAUUCGUAGAUAUGUGCAGGAAUGCCGAUGAUGAAGAUAGUUCACUGGACGGUAACUGACGCUGAAGUGCGAAAGCUAGGGGAGCAAACAGG